rnacentral:lncRNA from 1 species
GGGAGGCUUCCUUUGAGGUGAGGAAUCGAAUUUAGUUACUGCUAGAGUGAUUUUCGGAAUGAAUUGUUGUUGAACUUUAAAAGGUUAGAUCAUGAUCAUCUUAGGUCCGUUUUGAGUCAUUCUUAAGGCUAACUUGUAGAGUUUUUUGCAAGGAUCAUCGUGGUAUAAUCUGUUUGGGUUGGAAGGGUCGCAUUUUUCCAGAAAUUGGUGAUCAAGGGGCUGCCAAGUCGUAAGUCAAGACUUAUUAAUGAUUUUAAUUGUUGGGGCUGAUUUGCUAUGUUUUAGGCAUCUUUUUGUGCUAAAUUUUGGGGUAUUAGUUUAGUAAGGUGUUUGGGACGUUUUCACGGAUUCGUUUUCAGGAUUUCGUGUUAGUGGGGAAGCAUUUGGAGACCGUUCGGAGGGGAAAAGAUCCGGUACCGUGGGUUGGAGCACGCGUGAUCGGCUUUCAGGUAGGCUAUGGCUUUCCCUCGUGAGAUUGAGCAUGUUUAGGCAUUUGUUUAUUGAUUUGCUUGAGUAUGGAGGGGUUCGGGUGUCGAGCAUGCUAAGUUUCUAUAAUUCCUACCUUAGCCCUUACUUCGUGAAAUUGUUGAAUUAUGACAGCAUGACUCUUGAUAUUAUUGAACAUCCAUACCUUGUGGUGUAUAUGAUAAUAUUGAUUUGAAGUAUGUUUGGCCUUAGUCUAGGCUUAGACUAGUGUUGCCAUAGACUUGCGAGGUUUCGAAUGUCGUUGGGCAGUAGAACUUUUUCCGACGUCGUUUCGGGCGGUCAGCUCCUUGUAGACUGAUAUAGCAGACUUGAGUCUGAUAGUAUGACCCUUAGUUAGGCGGUAACUCAGCUUAUGACCUUGUAUCCAUAAUGCCCUGCUUUUCUAUUGGCUACAGUACCCGGUUAGAGUCCGUGGUCCAGCUUACCUGUGAUCUGAUUUUGGCUACAAUACCCGGUUAGAGUCCGUGGUCCAGCCCACCCGUGCCCGACCUUUGGCUACAGCACCCGGUUCGAGUCCGUGGUCCAGCCCAUAUUGGUUGACUCAUUAGCUAUAGUACCCGGUUCGAGAUGUGGUAGACCUUCUAGCUCCAUUAUUUUACUUCAACUAUCGGUGCAUCUGCCGGGCUAAUGGGGGUCCGUGCAGGUGGUUUCUUUUAUUGUGCACGAGCGUACCCGUCGGGUUUAUGGGAGCCCGACGGAGUUAGUUAGAUUCCUUGUCUUUGUAGCCUGUACGCUCGUGUACAUACCCACAUUUACUACUCUUUUGCCCUUGAUUGUGACCCUUUAUUUGCAUUUCAGUUCACUUUUGUUUAUCUUGCUCAUUCGGCCUGAUGCCUACUGGGUACCUGUUGUUUUGGUACUCAUACUACACUCUGCAUCUAUUUUCGUGAUACAGGUCUGAGUACUAGCUACCGACGUUGAUUCGAGCCAACUGCGGUCGUGAUCGGAGGCAAGGGUGAGCACACAACGUCCUGGAUUUACCCGUCUCCUUCUGUACUUACUUUUGCUUGUCUUUUGCCUUUUUAGACAGCUUGUUUAUGUGGUCUACUUUUAGGACUUGUACUUCUAUUAGCAGCUCUGUACUUGUGACUUCCAGGUUUUGGGAGGAAUUCAUUUUGUGUAUAUGUCUAGUCGCUUCCGCCCG